rnacentral:rRNA from 1 species
UAGGGAAUCUUCGGCAAUGGACGAAAGUCUGACCGAGCAACGCCGCGUGAGUGAAGAAGGUUUUCGGAUCGUAAAACUCUGUUGUUAGAGAAGAACAAGGACGUUAGUAACUGAACGUCCCCUGACGGUAUCUAACCAGAAAGCCACGGCUAACUACGUGCCAGCAGCCGCGGUAAUACGUAGGUGGCAAGCGUUGUCCGGAUUGAUUGGGCGUAAAGCGAGCGCAGGCGGUUUCUUAAGUCUGAUGUGAAAGCCCCCGGCUCAACCGGGGAGGGGCAUUGGAAACUGGGAGACUUGAGUGCAGAAGAGGAGAGUGGAAUUCCAUGUGUAGCGGUGAAAUGCGUAGAUAUAUGGAGGAACACCAGUGGCGAAGGCGGCUCUCUGGUCUGUAACUGACGCUGAGGCUCGAAAGCGUGGGGAGCAAACAGG